UUGAACGCUGGCGGCAUGCUUACACAUGCAAGUCGAACGGCAGCGCGGGCUUCGCCUGGCGGCGAGUGGCGAACGGGUGAGUAAUAUAUCGGAAACGUACCCAAGAGUGGGGGAUAACGUAGCGAAAGUUACGCUAAUACCGGCAUACGAUCUAAGGAUGAAAGCAGGGGACCGCAAGGCCUUGUGCUCCUGGAGCGGCCGAUAUCUGAUUAGCUAGUUGGGUGAGGGUAAAGGCUCACCAAGGCAACGAUCAGUAGCUGGUCUGAGAGGACGACCAGCCACACUGGAACUGAGACACGGUCCAGACUCCUACGGGAGGCAGCAGUGGGGAAUUUUGGACAAUGGGGCAACCUGAUCCAGCAAUGCCGCGUGAGUGAAGAAGGCCUUCGGGUUGUAAAGCUCUUUUGUCAGGGAAGAAGAAGGCUGUGGCUAAUAUCCAUAGCUGCGACGGUACCUGAAGAAUAAGCACCGGCUAACUACGUGCCAGCAGCCGCGGUAAUACGUAGGGUGCAAGCGUUAAUCGGAAUUACUGGGCGUACAAGCGUGCGCAGGCGGUUUCGUAAGUCUGUCGUGAAAUCCCCGGGCUUAACCUGGGAACUGGCGAUGGAGACUGCGAGGCUAGAGUUGGAGAGGGGGUAGCGGAAUCACGUGUAGCAGUGAAUGCGUAGAGAUGGGAGGAACACCGAUGGCGAAGGCAGCCACCCUGGGCUCAACACUGACGCUCAUGCACGAAAGCGUGGGGAGCAAACAGGAUUAGAUACCCCUGGUAGUCCACGCCCUAAACGAUUGUCUACGUAGUUGUUGGGUCUUAAUUGACUUAGUAUACGACCAGCUAACGCGUUGAAGUUCGACCGCCUGGGAGUACGGUCGCAAGACUUAAACUCAAGGAAUUGACGGGGGACCCGCACAAGCGGUGGAGUAUGUGGAUUAAUUCGAUGCUACGCGAAAACCUUACCUGACCUUGACAUGGCAGGAACUUCCAGGAGAUGAUCUGGAGUGCCUUCGAAGGGAACUCGAACACAGGUGCUGCAUGGCUGUCGUCAGCUCGUGUCGUGAGAUGUUGGGUUAAGUCCCGCAACGAGCGCAACCCUUGUCCUUAGUUGCCUACGCACGUAUGCGGAACUCUAAUGAGACCUGCCGGUGACAAACCGGAGGAAGGUGGGGAUGACGUCAAGUCUAGCAUGGCCCUUACGUCCUAGGGCUAACACACGUACUACAAUGCUGCGGACAGAAGGCAUGCAAGCGCGGCGACGUGCAAGCCAAUCCCAUAAACCGCUAGGCUCAGUCCAGAUUGGCAGGCUGCAACUCGACUGCCAUGAAGGCGGAAUCGCUAGUAAUGCAGGUCAGCAUUGCGGCAGUGAAUACGUUCCCGGGCCUUGUACACACCGCCCGUCACACCAUGGGAAGUUUGCACGCAGAAGGUCGUUACCCUUAACCUGUCGCAGAGGGGGCCUGCCGACGGAGGGUGGCGAUGACUGGGGUG
rnacentral:rRNA from 1 species